UACUGGGCUGCGUUGUAUGCUGCCAUGAAUAAAAAGCUGGGUCUUUUCACUUUUUCUCACACACACUUGGCUAAUAGAACAAAGUGUCACUGAUGAGUACAAAUUUAAGAGUAUUUGUGAAGGCUUCUGCCCUUGGAUCAUACUGUGCCCUAGUAGCAAUUCUUAGCUCACCUAUGAUGAUUAAGUGCUAAAUGAACACUCUAUUUUUUGUUGUACGUGUUGAUGUUGGGUUCUUUGCGUCAAUAUGAUGUUGGCGCACUAAAAGUAGUUGUUGGCACGGAAAAAAAACUCGUCAUAGUGUGGAGUGUUACAUAUUUGUAGUUCUAUUGUAACAUUCUUUACAGUUUUGCACACGGAAAUUCUGCCAUUAUUUACACUGCAUUGCAGGCACUGUCUUGUUUUUGCCCUUUUGACGGGGCAUUAGGUGAACACAGCGAUUUCCUCACAGUCUGAAGGGCCUUACUUUGACCUGAAGUUUUUUACACUGUCCUUAUGGACUAAUAUCUUCAGUAGUGUCUUGCUGCAUUAAUUCACUUUAUAUUAAUUGUACAAAUACUCAUGUCAUUAGCAUUGUUUAGAGAUGGACUCCUAGAGUUGCCUAAUGGAGGCUCAAAAUGACAAUGCAGUAGAACAAUGCAUUUUUUAAUUUUUUUAAUUUGUAGCUGUGCACCAACAUCAAUCGUUUCAUUAAAUUACUGCAAAAUACAUGCAUAGCGUUGUGAAUACAACCCUAGUUAAUGACUAAAAAUGACUGAAGUCUAUUAGGCAUUCAUUUGGGUGCAAUGAAAGUGCUUGGAGUGGUGAAAUUUACCAUGACACUUAUAACCAUUUCAAUUGGCUACUGUGAGACCAGAUGAGGUCACUUCCCAGGUUUGAGUAGUAAUGAAAACAUCCAUGUGCCCUAGUAAUUUCACAUGUGCCAACUGUGCAUUUUCACCUUCACAGAAGGCAUCAUAUUUAAAAAAAGUAGACUAUGCUGCAGCAUGCACAGUAUUCUUGUAAUUUGAUUUCAUUUUAUUAUCUUAAAGACUCCUCUGGGGGGUGUAAAUAAAGAGGGAUGUAGAUAAAUUAUACAAAAUGGUGACUGCUUAUUAUAUAUGUUAUUUGCGAGACAGGUAAUGUGCAAAACUUUGCAAGGAUAAGGUCGGGCAGGUAAUGGUGGCAAUGCUGUGGGUAAAGGUCGUUCCAUUCAGAUCAUGACGGUGGAAAGAAGGAGGCAGAAAAUGUCUUGGUUUGGUGUGGCUUCCCAUGUCCGUUAUGAUGAGAUAUGCGGACUGGUGGGGUGAUAAAGUUCAAGACCAGACUUUGUUGAAACACAUCAAUCAGUGGCUCGCUUUUUGUUCAGCAGUGGCUGUCGGUACUUGUGGAGGGAGUAUUCACAUUACAAGCACCGAGUGUGCUGCCAACAUUAUCAUCUGCAUCAUAACUUAACCCCUUGUCUUUUGCUCUCUUGGCGGCUGGUCCCACCUGGUAUUCUGCAGAAUAACUUUUUUGUUCAGAGGCGGUGUGGGUCACUACAUCUGCUGUUUCAGUACAAUUAUCGUGUGUGAAAAACUUGGAAGCACAUAGGCAUGUGAAAAGCAACCUCACAUCUUUCACACUUCGACUGGCUCACGGACUUCUUGCCAUGUGCCUUGCUAACUAAGCACAGCAUUGAGGGAUUCCUUUUUUAUAUUUUUGGCAAGAUUUGACAAGGAAAAUUAGCCCACUUGGUGGCUUGUAGGUCCAUUGGUGAGGUCGUGAUAGGAAGGUUUUUGUGUGACAGUGUUCUGAAAAAGCCGGGAGCAUGCAUCCUUCACUGUUAGAAAAAAUAUACAUUUACACUAAGAAAUGGCUUCAAGAACUGACCACUGCUUCCAUCUAGUGGAUAACAUAAUCGGCUUUUGGCCUCACCAUUGGGGCCGGCAAAUUGCUGGCUGCAGGAGCCAAUGUCUUAAUAAUGUCUCUUGUGUGGUUGAGCAGAAUAAGUUGCGAAGGUCCUUCGGCAAGUUAGGCGGUGCUAGGCUGCUUUAUGCAGUACUACGCUUCAUGUUUAUUACAUCUUAAAACUGCAUCUACAGAUGCGCACAGCUAAUGCUGUACGUAGAGUUGGCCUCACGUUUGGAGUGUGGUCUGGCCUGCAUGUGUCAAUGGCCACAACUUCCAAGUAAUUUUUGCUUCUUUGCAUUUAAUAUUGGAUUUGAGCCUGAAAGGACUGGCAAUAUGGUCAUGGUAGACCAGCCCUGCUGUAGCUCUGGUUUUGUGAACAGUCUUAUAUAAACUUGCAGUUGGUAACCUAAAAUUGUUAUUGAUGCGCACUGGUGCUGCCAAAAGGCUUGUAUAUGAUGUUCUUUAGCGUCUCAAUAAGAGCUGCAGAAAAAUUUUGCUAGAUUGUAGUAGUAAUUUGCAGAGUGAUGUUGUUUCUUGGAUUAAGUUUGCUGACAUAACAAUGCUGCAGGGAAAUGGCACCUUUUGUUGCUUGAAUUCCCCUAAUCCCCACGCAUUUAGGGUAGUUGUCUUCACUCUUCAGACACUUGUCAGAUGCUUUUUGUUUAGGUUGGUUGAACCAAUAGCAGCUGUGAGUAACCAUUUAUCAUGUUUUUUUUUUUGUUUUACCUGCAAUAAUUCUUACCUCUGAAAUGUCUGGGCAUAUGUUAGUGGGUACUUAUAAUUCUGAAUUUUUUCUUUAGCUAGAGUGAUUGUGAAAUUGUUGCAGCCAUUGAGGGAGAUGUCCGGAUUGUCUAUACUGUAUCCGUAAAAGCCACAGGUGCACAUUACUGAAGUACAUGGGCUUGGUGCCGCCAUCUUGGACUGUUAAGCAAAUAUUUUCUUGUUUAUAUAUAUCGCUAUGUGAAUUGAUUAGACCAAGAAAUAUUGUAUGCACUAACUCAACUGUUUUCAUAUGUAUAUGUUUACCGUAACACUAAUUCAGUUAACGAUACAAACUACAAAGGUUAGGACCCCAAUAUGGGGACCCACUCAUGAUAUAGUUAUUGGGGUGCUGGGGGACUUGAACAUUCUGAUAUUUCAUAGACUUGUAUGCUGUUUCCCAGAAAAGCUAGUUUUGGCUUCAUUUGACAGUAAAAGAAGUAAGCCAAUGUUUUUGGCAGUACCUGUAGAUAAUUUUAACGGUGAAUCUGUUCUUAGUCGAGGCUUUUAUAUCCGGGCUCAGCGUUGGCCGCAGCAAGAGCUGUCGCAAGAACAGGGGUGUCGUCGCUGAGCCAACUGCAAUGUUCGCGCAAGACAGGCUGAAGCUUAGCACCAUAUAUUUCAAAAAUUGGUCAGAGCAACACUCCUCCUGCACUGUCAAUGUCAUCAUGUGGCCAUGGAAAGUGGAUAGUCAAGAGCAUGGCAUGGAAUCGAAUGGGAGAAAUUACUACGAAGUCGUGGUCUUUUAGUUCCUAAUGGCAAGCACCAAAUUCUGCCUGUCAUAAUGAGCUCUUAGUGUCCAUGUUUUACUUUGGGCUCAAAAGUUUGUUAUUGUUGAUUUCUAAAAUAGCAGGUAACUUGAGUUCGGCUUUGAUGCUAAGUAGGACUGACUUCGUUUAUGGUAACCUGCGACAUUUUGAAGUAGUUAUGUAAAGGAGCUAAGAAAGGUCGAGGGCGGUUUCUUUUCCCUUGUUAUAGUGUAUACACUCGUCCUAAUAUGUGCAGGCACCUGCAGUGUCGCCAAAUAUAUAUUUGAAUGGUCAUGCUGGAAAGAAAAGCUGGCAAGAAAACAUUCAUUGAAAUUGAUGGUUUCACUGGAUCUUUACCUCGUUGCAUCGGUAUACUGACGUAUCGAUGGUUUUCCUUGAGCUAUAUAUACUCAAUGUGAGGAUACCUAUUUUGCUAAUAAAAGCACCUAAAAACUUGGUGUAUUUAGAGGAUUUAUGGCAUAAAUCUCAAAGCCAUUACUUGCAUGUUCAAAGUAUCCGUUUGGUAGGGCAUUGCGAAAGUAGUGUUGAGUACUAAAAGGUGUUUAGGAAUGUUUCUCGCCCUUGAUUUUGUCAACUUGGUUGUUGCAAUAGUUGUAUUGCUAUGUCUGCAGGUGCGACUUAUUUGUACACCAGUAAUCUGUUUCAGGGAUGCAAAAUAGUGUUCAGUUUUUAAAAUCAUUUCAUUUGAGCAAUUCAUCUGUACAGUUAGGAUGUGCUUCAUCACAUUUCAUUAUAUAGUUCUGUAUUUAAAAACACUACUGGUUUUCACACACAACCGAAACACUUAUUGUUUGUUGCCGGGACCCAAGUGACUUGAGUACUAAACGUGACUAUGACCAAUUUGUGUUUUCUAUCCUAGAGCAUUGUUUGCUGAAUAAUUAAAGGGGCUUCUUUUGGAAAAUAAAUUUUGAUAAUCCCUUGAUGCACCUAUCCUUCUAAUGUAUGGGAUCAGUAGCGUGCCUAGAGUCUGAUUAUAUCCAGUGGAGGUCAGCUUAGAAAGAGGCAUUGUAUGUCUUUUAUAGUUGUAACAGCGAAGCUUAAAAUCAAAAUAUUGCUGUUGCUUCUACACACUACAUAUCACCUUUUGAAUAUAAGGUGUACAUCUGUUCAGAACACCUUUCGAAUUUGCUUUUUAAAAAGGCAGUGCAAAGAGCCGAGCACAAAAAGUACUAGACGGGAUGGGUGCGCAAGUAACUCCCAGAAGUUAAUGUACUAAGCUGCUGAGUGAGAAUAUAUAUUGUUAGCUUGUUGAAGAUUAAAAUAUUAUAGCUGUUGGUUUCAGUGUUGAAGAGUUUGCUCGGGAACCUGAUAUAGUGACUGCAUUCUGUCUGAUUUGCAAGGAAGUCUGCUAGUUGAUAUUCAUUAAAAAUACAAGGUCGUUUAAAAGGCAGUAUUGAUUGUCUGAUGUUCUCAUUGUUCAUAGUGCAUGAUUGGUUUGAAAGGUAGACUACGGCAACGCUAAAAAAAAAAUAGAAUAUGUGGGGAAUGUUUCUGCUACACAAAAAUAUCUGACUGGCUCUCGUUUCUUUUCAUCAAAACCUGGCGCUGGCCACUUUCCUCUCGAGAAGGCUAUAUUGCACUGAUAACGUAGGCGCUGUUUAUGACCAUGAACUACCGUAACCGUGGUGAUAACGCGAGGAAAGUAGAUGGUGAUAUUGUUGUGUAGCAGAAACACUCCCAAAUACUCUAUUUUUUAGAGGGAAGCAUUAGAUAUGCCCCCUGUACAUUGUUAACAUUGAAGUGCAUACCCCUGCAAGGUUGUAGUUUUUGUGUUCACUAUGUGCACCCUAACUGUUGAUUAUGUGCAUUGAGCAGAAGCAUUAAUGUGCUGGUCAGUUGUUUGUUUCUGCUUGGAAGUAUUGUGAUAUAUAGUGCUAUAAACUAGUGGAUGUUCCGAGUUUUUCAAUGUGUGUUUGUGUGACAGGGGUGGCAAUGUUUGGUGGUGCUCAUGAUUUUGUUAUUAUUUGAGAAGUCUUUUGGGAAGUAAAAUUGUUCAUUGAUACCUAGAUGUUCUGAUGGAAUGUAGCUGUGAUUACAUGUAGACUCCUGGUGCAUUCCUUUUUCGUGCUUUUGAGCUGCCUACUAGCCUCACAGGUUUGAGUAGUCCAUUUGCAGUUUCCUCUCAGGUACAUAUAUUUGCAUCUUUCAUCUAUCCACAGUUAUAAUUUUGUGCACAUAAAGUGAAAUAAACUGUUCCACUACAGA